UACGUAGGGGGCAAGCGUUGUCCGGAAUCAUUGGGCGUAAAGCGCGCGUAGGCGGCCCGGUAAGUCCGUUGUGAAAGUCAAAGGCUCAACCUUUGAACGCCGAUGGAUACUGCCGGGCUAGAGUCCGGAAGAGGCGAGUGGAAUUCCUGGUGUAGCGGUGGAAUGCGCAGAUAUCAGGAGGAACACCGAUGGCGAAGGCAGCUCGCUGGGACGGUACUGACGCUGAGGCGCGAAAGCGUGGGGAGCAAACAGG
rnacentral:rRNA from 1 species